rnacentral:misc_RNA from 1 species
AUUAUUGUAUAAAUAGGCUGCCUUAUAACUUUCAGAAUUAAGAAAAUAAGAAUUAUUUAAAUUCAAUUUCUUGUCUUUUUUGUCUACAGCUUUUUUUGACCAUUAAGCCUUCACCUUUCAAAAAUUUUCUUUAAUUUUUUCCCUCUUUCAUCAACCAAAGAAGGCACCAAGAGACCAUACCUAAUCACACCCACAUUGCCAAGU